rnacentral:tRNA from 1 species
GGGGUCGUGGGACAACCUGGCAGCCUACCGCCUUGGGGUGGCGGCGAUCCGAGUUCAAAUCUCGGCGACCCCA